CCCAUCUUUACUCGCGAUGCAUCUAGAUUAGAGUUUGAUCAUGGCUCAGAUUGAACGCUGGCGGCAGGCCUAACACAUGCAAGUCGAACGGUAACAGGAAGAAGCUUGCUUCUUUGCUGACGAGUGGCGGACGGGUGAGUAAUGUCUGGGAAACUGCCUGAUGGAGGGGGAUAACUACUGGAAACGGUAGCUAAUACCGCAUAACGUCGCAAGACCAAAGAGGGGGACCUUCGGGCCUCUUGCCAUCGGAUGUGCCCAGAUGGGAUUAGCUAGUAGGUGGGGUAACGGCUCACCUAGGCGACGAUCCCUAGCUGGUCUGAGAGGAUGACCAGCCACACUGGAACUGAGACACGGUCCAGACUCCUACGGGAGGCAGCAGUGGGGAAUAUUGCACGAUGGGCGCAAGCCUGAUGCAGCCAUGCCGCGUGUAUGAAGAAGGCCUUCGGGUUGUAAAGUACUUUCAGCGGGGAGGAAGGGAGUAAAGUUAAUACCUUUGCUCAUUGACGUUACCCGCAGAAGAAGCACCGGCUAACUCCGUGCCAGCAGCCGCGGUAAUACGGAGGGUGCAAGCGUUAAUCGGAAUUACUGGGCGUAAAGCGCACGCAGGCGGUUUGUUAAGUCAGAUGUGAAAUCCCCGGGCUCAACCUGGGAACUGCAUCUGAUACUGGCAAGCUUGAGUCUCGUAGAGGGGGGUAGAAUUCCAGGUGUAGCGGUGAAAUGCGUAGAGAUCUGGAGGAAUACCGGUGGCGAAGGCGGCCCCCUGGACGAAGACUGACGCUCAGGUGCGAAGCGUGGGGAGCAAACAGGAUUAGAUACCCCCGGUAGUCCACGCUGUAAACGAUGUCGACUUGGAGGUUGUGCCCUUGAGGCGUGGCUUCCGGAGCUAACGCGUUAAGUCGACCGCCUGGGGAGUACGGCCGCAAGGUUAAAACUCAAAUGAAAUUGACGGGGGCCCGCACAAAGCGGUGGAGCAUGUGGUUUAAUUCGAUGCAACGCGAAGAACCUUACCUGGUCUUGACAUCCACGGAAGUUUUCAGAGAUGAGAAUGUGCCUUCGGGAACCGUGAGACAGGUGCUGCAUGGCUGUCGUCAGCUCGUGUUGUGAAAUGUUGGGUUAAGUCCCGCAACGAGCGCAACCCUUAUCCUUUGUUGCCAGCGGUCCGGCCGGGAACUCAAAGGAGACUGUUAGUGAUAAACUGGAGGAAGGUGGGGAUGACGUCAAGUCAUCAUGGCCCUUACGACCAGGGCUACACACGUGCUACAAUGGCGCAUACAAAGAGAAGCGACCUCGCGAGAGCAAGCGGACCUCAUAAAGUGCGUCGUAGUCCGGAUUGGAGUCUGCAACUCGACUCCAUGAAGUCGGAAUCGCUAGUAAUCGUGGAUCAGAAUGCCACGGUGAAUACGUUCCCGGGCCUUGUACACACCGCCCGUCACACCAUGGGAGUGGGUUGCAAAAGAAGUAGGUAGCUUAACCUUCGGGAGGGCGCUUACCACUUUGUGAUUCAUGACUGGGGUGAAGUCGUAACAAGGUAACCGUAGGGGAACCUGUGGAUGGAUCACCUCCUUAA
rnacentral:rRNA from 1 species